rnacentral:tRNA from 1 species
GCCCGGGUGGUGAAAUUGGUAGACACAAGGGAUUUAAAAUCCCUCGCUGGCAACAGCGUGCCGGUUCAAGUCCGGCCCCGGGCA